GUCUAGGUAGCUCAGUGGUUAGAGUGGAGGUCUGAAAAACCUUAGGUCAGUGGUUCAAAUCCACUUCUGGACA
rnacentral:tRNA from 1 species